GAUGAACGCUGGCGGCGUGCCUAAUACAUGCAAGUCGAGCGAACAGACGAGGAGCUUGCUCCUCUGACGUUAGCGGCGGACGGGUGAGUAACACGUGGAUAACCUACCUAUAAGACUGGGAUAACUUCGGGAAACCGGAGCUAAUACCGGAUAAUAUAUUGAACCGCAUGGUUCAAUAGUGAAAGACGGUUUUGCUGUCACUUCUCGAUGGAUCCGCGCCGCAUUAGCUAGUUGGUAAGGUAACGGCUUACCAAGGCAACGAUGCGUAGCCGACCUGAGAGGGUGAUCGGCCACCCUGGAACUGAGACACGGUCCAGACUCCUACGGGAGGCAGCAGUAGGGAAUCUUCCGCAAUGGGCGAAAGCCUGACGGAGCAACGCCGCGUGAGUGAUGAAGGUCUUCGGAUCGUAAAACUCUGUUAUUAGGGAAGAACAAAUGUGGAAGUAAAUAUGCACGUCUUGACGGUACCUAAUCAGAAAGCCACGGCUAACUACGUG
rnacentral:rRNA from 1 species